rnacentral:lncRNA from 1 species
CCGGGGCUCAGCUGCGUCCACCGUGCUCCUGGCUCCUGCAGGGACUUUGGUGACACAGCAGAUGCUCCAUCCCUGCCCUGCACCUCUCACUCCUGCCUGGUGGGGGUGCUUCCAGGAGCUGCAGCUCACACGAGGCCCACAAAGGGCUGAGCCUCCCCUGCUGUGCCCCAGGGGCCUCUGUCCCCACCCAACAAGCCACUGAGCAAGAGGCCAGGGCAGGAAGGGGCUGGAGUCCUCCAGCUGGUGGAGACGAGGAGCAGCUGGUGGAGACGAGGAGCAUCCGGUGGAGAUGAGGAGCAUCCGGUGGAGAUGAGGAGCAUCUCGUGGGGAGGAGGAGCAUCUGGCAGAGACGAGGAGCAUCUGGCGGAGACGAGGAGGAGCAUCUGGCGGAGACGAGGAGGAGGAUCUGGCGGAGACGAGGAGGAGGAUCUGGCGGAGACGAGGAGGAGGAUCUGGCAGAGAGGAGGAGUAGGAUCUGGCGGAGAGGAGGAGUAGGAUCUGGCGGAGAGGAGGAGCAUCCGGCGGGGAUGAGGAGCAUCCAGUGGGGAUGAGGAGCAGCUGGUGGAGAGGAGCAGCAGCUGGUGGAGACGAGGAGCAUCCGGUGGAGAUGAGGAGCAUCUCGAGGAGAGGAGGAGCAUCUGGUGGAGAGGAGGAGCAUCCCGUGGAGACGAGGAGCAUCCCGUGGAGACGAGGAGCAUCUGGCGGAGACGAGGAGCAUCUGGCGGAGAGGAGGAGUAGUAUCUGGCGGAGAGGAGUAGUAUCUGGCAGAGAGGAGUAGUAUCUGGUGGAGAGGAGGAGUAGUAUCUGGUGGAGAGGAGGAGCAUCCGGCGGAGAGGAGGAGCAUCCGGCGGAGACGAGGAGCAUCCGGCGGUGACGAGGAGCAUCCGGCGGAGAUGAGGAGCAUCCGGUGGAGAGGAGGAGCAUCUCGAGGAGCGGAGGAGCAUCUGGCGGAGACGAGGAGCAUCUCGUGGAGCGGAGGAGCAUCUGGCGGAGACGAGGAGCAUCUCGUGGAGAGGAGGAGCAUCUCGUGGAGAGGAGGAGCAUCUCGUGGAGCGGAGGAGCAUCUGGCAGAGACGAGGAGUAGUGUCUGGCGGAGACGAGGAGUAGUGUCUGGCAGAGACAAGGAGUAGUGUCUGGCAGAGACGAGGAGUAGUGUCUGGCGGAGAGGAGGAGUAGUGUCUGGCAGAGACGAGGAGUAGUGUCUGGCAGAGAGGAGGAGCAUCCGGCGGAGACGAGGAGCAGCCGGCGGAGACGAGGAGCAGCCGGCGGAGACGAGGAGCAGCCGGUGGAGACGAGGAGCAUCUCGAGGAGAGGAGGAGCAUCUCGAGGAGAGGAGGAGCAUCCGGUGGAGAGGAGGAGCAUCUCGCAGAGAGGAGGAGCAUCUCGCGGAGACGAGGAGCAUCUGGCGGAGACGAGGAGGAGCAUCUGGCGGAGACGAGGAGUAGGAUCUGGCAGAGAGGAGGAGUAGGAUCUGGCGGAGAGGAGGAGUAGGAUCUGGCAGAGAGGAGUAGGAUCUGGCGGAGAGGAGGAGUAGGAUCUGGCGGAGAGGAGGAGUAGGAUCUGGCGGAGAGGAGGAGUAGUAUUUGGCGAAGAGGAGGAGCAUCCGGCGGAGACAAGGAGCAUCCGGUGGAGACGAGGAGCACCCGGUGGAGACGAGGAGCAUCUCGAGGAGACGAGGAGCAUCUCGACGAGAGGAGGAACAUCCGGUGGAGAGGAGGAGCAUCUGGUGGAGACGAGGAGCAUCUGGUGGAGAGGAGGAGUAGUAUCUGGUGGAGAGGAGUAGUAUCUGGUGGAGAGGAGGAGCAUCUGGUGGAGAGGAGGAGCAUCUGGUGGAGAGGAGGAGCAUCUGGUGGAGAGGAGGAGCAUCUUCCCGUGCUUGUUUAUUGUGUUUGUUGAAGGUCACGUCAUCACUCACCCAGUGGGCAGUGGGUUUCAGGCGUGGCUCACACCUGGUGUGGUCAUCGGCACCCCAGCGUUGCUCAGAGCUGGCGGGAUCUUUAGCCCAAAGGCGCAGUCUGUGCUCUCGCUCCUUCCAGGCCUGGCCAGUCCCACAAGAAGAAAACAGAAACCUCAGUGCCUGGCAGAGAAGGCUCUUGGGCGGCAAGUAGGUGGCCGGAUCGCCCUCCGUCCCGCCUCCUGUGCCCCCAGCCCCUCUGCACCCCGUCUCCUUCCUCUUCUUCGCCAAGCUCUGAGCACCCUCUCCGGGGCGCUAGGUGCUCUCCUUUGCCCUCUUCCUGGUGGAGUACGGGAUGCAGCACACCCAGCUGGUCUGCAUC